CCAGAUGAUCAUCGUAUUUUCCCGAUCCCUGAACAUUCCUUUGACCUUUCUUGUCAUCCCACCUCAUAUAUCAACCACUCUCCAGACACCAGCAGAAGCCAAGCUGAAGUUAACACUGGUCCAGCGCCUGAUCAUGAAUUCCCUCUUAGCCCAACAGAAGAAACUAGCUGUUAUCUUUCUCCCAUUUCUUCACCAGAGUCUCUUCUACUUGUUUACCAAUCUUUGCCCAGAAAGUCUAGUCGCCAAAAGCACCCACCCUCCUACUCAAAUGAGUAUCAUUGUGAUUUGCCUUUUUCUCCUACUGUUUUCUAGUCCUCCAUCAUGCUGGUUUGCUCAUCUGUAUCUGGUAAGCCCUUCUCACUUUUUCAAUUUUUAUCCUCUGAUAGACUUAACCCUGAACACAAGGCAUUUACUAUUUCUAUAACAAAUCUCUAUAAACCAAAAUUUUAUAGACAAGCCAUCAAAUUCCCAUACUGGCAAGCUGCCAUGGAUAGUGAAAUUAAGGCCCCUGAAACGAAUAACACUUGGACCCUCACUCCUCUACCGCCUGGUAAGCACAUAAUUCGUAGUAAAUAGGUUUACAACGUCAAAUUCAAAGCUGAUGGCUCAGUGAAAAGAUACAAGGCACGCCUAUUUGCCAAGGGUUGCACCCAACAGGAAGGCUUGGACUUCUUUGACACAUUUUCCCGUGUGGCAAAAUUGACAUCUAUUCGUGUUCUCUUAGCUGUUGUAGCAGUUAAUAAUUGGUUCCUUCACCAAUUAGAUGUCAACAAUGAUUUUCUCCACGAUGAUCUCCAUGAAGAAGUAUACAUAGACUUGCCUCGGGGUUAUCCCAUCCAUGACCCCUCACUAGUAUGUAAACUUAACAAGAGCCUAUAUGGUCUCAAACAGGCAUCUCGCCAAUGGUUCGCUGAGUUGACCUUAAGCCUUGUUUCAUAUGGUUUCCAUCAGUCUAACUCUGAUUCAUCUUUAUUUUUAAAAUCUACCAACGGAUCUUUCCUUGUUUUAUUGGUUUGUGUUGAUGAUAUUUUCCUUGCAAGCAUUAAUCUUUGUGAAAUGCAGAUCCUUAAGAAGUUCUUGGAUGAUCAGUUCACUAUUAAAGACUUGGGAAAAUUAAAGUAGAUUGGGAUCCCAUUGAUCCAGCGGAAGCAAUGGCUAGGGCAUGGACAAUACAAGAUCCUAUUGGUUUGGAAGUGGCUAAAUCUCAUCAAGGCAUCAGUCUUUGCUAGAGAAAAUAUGACUUGGAUAUACUUGAAGAUUGUGGCUUUUCUGGUUGCAAGUUGGUGGCCUUUCCUAUGGAGUCUUUUCUUAAACUCACAGCAACUGAUGAAAACCUUCUACUUGAUCCUUUAGUUUAUCGAAAACUAAUUGGCAGGCUCAUUUAUCUUAUAAUUACUAGGCCUAAUUUGGCCAACUCCAUCCAAGUUCUUAGUCAGUUUUAUGUCCAAAUCGGCUCAGUCCCAUCUUCAUGUUGUUCACAGG
rnacentral:lncRNA from 1 species